rnacentral:RNase_P_RNA from 1 species
CCAGAGGGCGGGGCGAUCGCUCGUCGGCGUUUUGCCGGCGGGAGGAAAGUCCGGGCUCCGCAGGACAGGAUGGUCGAUAACGUCGACCGGCCGCGAGGCCAGGGAAAGUGCAACAGAGAGCAGACCGCCGAACGGUUCACCGGGGCUCGUCCCCGCUGGACGCGUGGUAAGGGUGAAACGGUGCGGUAAGAGCGCACCAGCGAUCGGGGUGACCCGAUCGGCUCGGUAAACCCCAUCCGGAGCUAGACCAAACAGGGUGCAGAAGCGGUCCGCUUCGCCAUCGACACUCGGGUAGGUCGCAAUGGAGGCGACGAGCAAUCGUCGUGCACAGAUAAAUGAUCGCUGCCAUCGGCGCGCCGCUGCCGGAAUCCGUUCCGGCCGCCCGCUCCGAUCGGUACAGAACCCGGCUUACAAGCCCUCUGGUCGU